rnacentral:tRNA from 1 species
GGGCCCGUGGCCAAGCUGGAUAAGGCACCGGCCCUCUAAGCCGGUAAUCGAGGGUUCAAAUCCCUCCGGGCCCGCCA